rnacentral:rRNA from 1 species
GACGAACGCUGGCGGCGUGCCUAAUACAUGCAAGUCGAACGGUCUUUUCUAUGGAAGCUUGCUUCCACUGAAAAGAUAGUGGCGGACGGGUGAGUAACACGUGGGUAACCUGCCCAUAAGAGGGGGAUAACAUCCGGAAACGGGUGCUAAUACCGCAUAGUUUUCUUGAUCGCAUGAUCGAGAAAGGAAAGACGGCCUUUGUGCUGUCGCUUAUGGAUGGACCCGCGGCGUAUUAGUUAGUUGGUGAGGUAAUGGCUCACCAAGACGAUGAUACGUAGCCGACCUGAGAGGGUGAUCGGCCACAUUGGGACUGAGACACGGCCCAAACUCCUACGGGAGGCAGCAGUAGGGAAUCUUCCGCAAUGGACGAAAGUCUGACGGAGCAACGCCGCGUGAGUGAAGAAGGUUUUCGGAUCGUAAAACUCUGUU